UAUAGCUAUGGUAGAAAAAUCCUCCCUCGUCACACCGACGACAAUCUCCGUUACGUCGGUGACCUCACACGUGUUCUUGCAGCCGAUGCCUCCAUUUCCUUUGCAGAUUUGAGGUGUCAUUUGCCGAACAAAGGUGUUCAGAAUGUAGACAUCGGUGGUGAUUGCGAGAAGAACGAAGAUGAAGACGAUUCUCUUUCGCCUGCACCAACCCCAACGGAUAGCCGAUGUAUUCCAAAUGGCUAGAUUUGUCAUGUGUUCACGAUUUUCAACCUGGAUCUCCUGUUUGCUGAUGCCGCCGAUGACAAUUGUUCCAGAGCCAAAAGGGCUACCGCUUCGUCUUCCUCUCUACGGCUGCCAUUGAAGAAGCUCCUCUUUGAAGAGCUGGAUACGCCGACCUCAGGAACGUCUUUUUACAACUUAGGAGGUGGACUCGAUCCUGAUCCAUGAGAUCAACUAGCUUUUGAGUUUAAUCAUCAACACCUUCUACAGCAAUAAGGAGAUCGUUCUCCGUGAGCUCAUUAGUAACGCCUAUGAUGUAUUUCCUUUUGCCUUCGCGAUUGUAUCUGGUAAAACUGUGGACAAUUGGAGGUGGCUGCAAAUUAUAUCGGAUGUCUUGCUAGGCUUUUUUGGGUAUUUUUGAG